AGUGAACGCUGGCGGUAGGCCUAACACAUGCAAGUCGAACGGCAGCACAGUAAGAGCUUGCUCUUACGGGUGGCGAGUGGCGGACGGGUGAGGAAUACAUCGGAAUCUACUUUUUCGUGGGGGAUAACGUAGGGAAACUUACGCUAAUACCGCAUACGACCUACGGGUGAAAGCAGGGGAUCUUCGGACCUUGCGCGAUUGAAUGAGCCGAUGUCGGAUUAGCUAGUUGGCGGGGUAAAGGCCCACCAAGGCGACGAUCCGUAGCUGGUCUGAGAGGAUGAUCAGCGACACUGGAACUGAGACACGGUCCAGACUCCUACGGGAGGCAGCAGUGGGGAAUAUUGGACAAUGGGCGCAAGACUGAUCCAGCCAUACCGCGUGGGUGAAGAAGGCCUUCGGGUUGUAAAGCCCUUUUGUUGGGAAAGAAAAGCAGCAGGUUAAUACCCCGCCGUUCUGACGGUACCCAAAGAAUAAGCACCGGCUAACUUCGUG
rnacentral:rRNA from 1 species